UACGGGGGGGGCAAGCGUUGUUCGGAAUUACUGGGCGUAAAGCGCACGUAGGCGGACAUUUAAGUCAGGGGUGAAAUCCCGGGGCUCAACCCCGGAACGGCCUUUGAUACUGGGUGUCUUGAGUUCGGAAGAGGUGAGUGGAAUUGCGAGUGUAGAGGUGAAAUUCGUAGAUAUUCGCAGGAACACCAGUGGCGAAGGCGGCUCACUGGUCCGAUACUGACGCUGAGGUGCGAAAGCGUGGGGAGCAAACAGG
rnacentral:rRNA from 1 species